AUGAGAGCAUGUUUGCAGUCUUGGAUGGCAAAGGCAAAACGCUGAUGCUGAUUAUUCCAGAUCUUCUGGGCAUGGCCCAUUCCGUGCUUGACGUUCUUAAUCAGAGGGACGAGUGGUAGUUAUGUGGCGGGUGGGCCAGGGCCAUGGUUGUUUCUAAUCUGGCUGCCAGGCACAGACGGCACGUCUGCAGCACCUGCCAGCCCACGCACUGGCCUGCCUGGACAUCACAAGUGACCAGGGUUACUCGGCACUAUCAUAUCUCUCAAAGAAGAAACAACUCCUCCAACGGCAACAUCUGUGGGGCUGCUUUUGAACUAUCAGCAAUUCAUUUGAGCAAGAGCUGGGAGCAUUUUUCCCCUGGGCCUGAUCAUGAGGAAGUGUUUGCCCCUCUGGAGGACACAGCAACAAGGACCAUCUUGGAAGCAGAGACCUGGCCCUCACCAGACACCAUACCUGCCGGCACCUUGAUCUUGAACUUCUCAGCCUCCAGAAGUCAGUGAAAGUGCAACGACUAAAAGGGAAUGGAGUGACACAGACAAGUGUCUACAAGAGACCCUGGGGCUGCUACUCCAAAUGCUGUCACUUUGCAAGGUUACUGGGUAGAACUUCAAUCUUACUACUCACCUGCUCAACAACCUGCAAUGGCUCCCUAUUGUUGCCUUUCCCAACAAGGCCUCAUUUCAUGGAUGAUUUUCCAUCGUCUGGCCCUAUCCUAAAAGAGAGUGGAGCCUCUUGCUCAGAGUCAGGCUUUGGUCUCAACUGCCUUGUUUCACAUUCUCACUAUGCCAGUCCCCAGCUGGGUGAUGAUGAGUAAGUUACUUAGCCUCUCUGGGCACUGGCUUCCUUACUUAUUAAAUGUAGAUAAUAUUAGGUUGGUGCAAAGUAAC
rnacentral:lncRNA from 10 species